rnacentral:lncRNA from 7 species
AAUUCAAGCUCCGUAAUAAAGCUAGUAUGAGUUAGUUUAAUGCCAAUCAGAACUGAAGCGAAAUAUUUCACCUUCCUUGAAUUAAUUCUAUGCUUCUACUCUAUGAAAAUUACGUAAUGGAUGUGCUACUUUCUCAGCUGUUGCUUGGGAAGUAAAUGUUGAACAACUGAAAUGGUUUGCAAGACAGAAAUCCUUCCUCACCAACUAUACCAGCUCUUGGCACACACAGGUGCCAGUGCAAACUCCCUGCUCUUUAGUCUGGUACUAAUUGGCAACUUCAACUCUCUGCAUCCCCGGGAUAACAUAUCUUUGAAGCAAUUAAACAGAUAAAGAGGAGGAUCUGAUGUGACCAGAACCUACAUGAGAAAAUUAAGAGGAGAGAGAAAGGGUGCUGCUGCUCACAAAGGAUAUCCUAGAUAACCAGUAUAAAACAGGAUUGCACUGCUGGAAGUCAAAACUGGGGAUAUCUUUCUAGGAGAGACACUAAUUUUGGUAAGAAUGACCAGGUGGGACUCCACAGAUUGUGUGGUGCAGUGUUUGGGGGUGAUCACAAAGGCUCCUUCUGUCAUUCACAUCUGACUCACCACGGCUUUAUCGCCCCAUUCCAUUUGUGUAAUAAACUGCCUGCACCUUGAAGACAGCUUGACUCAUCACAUCCAAAGUCACCUGUCAGCUCCUGCCUGCAUUUCUCUAUUCAAAAGGGCAUGGCAGAGAUGAGUAUUUCCCUAAAGCAAAGGCUCUUAUCUCCUGCUCUAUCCUUCCCUCUUGAUCUUAAAUCUUGUUGCCUUCAGCACAGUGAUAUUUACCUGAAUUGCUAUCACAUUCUAUUAUUUAUCUUUUUUUUUUUUCCCAGUUCUCUUUUUUCAGUAUGUUUUUCAGCUCUCCUCAUCUGGCCCUUCAGCAGAGGACAAAUAGGAGACAGGACAAGCACUGCUACACAUCCACAACAACAACAACUUCAGGGGAAAGUGACAGACUGCAUUUUAUGCUUUUUGUUAAUCAGCUUUCACCUAAAAGUUGCAGGCAUGCAAAGUUUGACUGCAGCUUGACUUCCAGAAGUGACUUCUGCAGAUUGUGCUGAAGUUUUCUUCUCCUGCUCCAGUCAAACAUCUAAGGCUUUUGAAACAUACCACUAUGCGAUCACUUACAAAUGUCUUAUUAGCAUAUACUGAAGUGCAUUUCAUUGUAUGUGUAGCAUGUAUUCUCCAUGUGUGUAUGUAAAGAAUAAAAAGAAAAAGCAGCCAUCGUCUCCCCUCUUUAGAUAUUUUAGAUAUACAGGCAAAUUCAUGUGCUGUUCCCUAUUACCAAUGAAAUUCUUAGCAAUAAAGAAAGAAAAAGCCCUGUCUCAUUACCAUGGAGAUAAUGUGGUUAACACUAUUAGAAUCUCAGCCCCUACAGACAUCCUGCGGCUUCUGGAGAAGGAAGAAAAUGAAUAGAAAUUGAACGGCCCAACCACAAUCAGCAACAAGUAGCAGAUGAAAAAUUCUAGGUUUGCCCCUGAAAAGCCAAGAGAUGAGGAGAGAAAAGGGUUGUGGGUUUUAUUUUUUUAAAUACAUUAAACAAACAUACGC